UGGUUUCUGCUAGCCUUUAUUUGUGAAAGUUUACACAAAAAUCUCCCAACAGGUGAGCCUAUAUAAACCCCACAUGCCUCUUCCCAUUAACAAACAGAAGAUGGCUCUGAUGGGGGUAGGGUGGGGGGUCAUGACAAUGGUACGGAACAAGGUUUAUUGAAACUGUCUUAUUCUCAAAUUAUUUUGAAUAUGCUGAAAAUGAAAGGAAGCAGGUAAUAACCUGUUUAUAAAGCUGAUGUGCAUUUGUGCAAGCCUACUGCCAAAGGCAAAUAAAUGCUCUUCAAGCACAAUGUCCAAGUUGGUUGUUUUUGGCAUGAAUUAAAACAAACGAAAGGACUUGAAAUAAUUUCAGUUCUACAAAGCUUAUGUUUACAGAUGUUCUUGUUUACAAGAGCUUGGAAACAAAACCAUGGGCAAAAUGGUCUAUUUUUCUCCUCUCUGAAACAUUGACAUUUUCCAGGACAGAAAACAGAAAAUUAGUAGAGUGGUUGUCAUUGCUCCUAAAAGAGGGGAAGGCACAAGUCAGAAAAUAGGAGUCUCGUGUUAGGCUAAUGGUACACACCAUGGUUUUGCAUUUAAAAGUCUACAAAUGGGUUUUGACCCAAAAUUUAUUUUCUUAUUGUUUAUUCUUUUCAUACUUAAAUUGUUCUUCUGUCACUUGAUGUAUGGAUGUUACAGAUUUCUGACCAUCUGCUGGUGCCAUGGUGAGGACUUGCAUGCUAAGAUCUUAGAAGUGAGACCUAUCAUUUUUCAACAGCAGAUGGCACUGUUGUACCAGAGAACACUUGAUGCCAUGCAGGCGUUUAUGGGAGUCCUAAGACAAAGGCUUUUGAGUGUAUAGUAACUGGAACCUUAACAGAACAGCCUGAUACUUAACCACAUAAAGCAUUCCUGUUCACCUUCGUACUUCAUCCAGGUCAUCUUAACAGUGUUCUCUGAUAACUUCA
rnacentral:lncRNA from 1 species